GGGAGGUAGUGACAAUAAAUAACAAUACGGGGUUCUAUAGGAUUUCGUAAUUGGAAUGAGUACAAUUUAAAUCUCUUAACGAUCAACAAUUGGAGGGCAAGUCUGGUGCCAGCAGCCGCGGUAAUUCCAGCUCCAAUAGCGUAUAUUAAAGUUGUUGCAGUUAAAAAGCUCGUAGUUGAAUUUCGGGGUUAGUAGGUUGGUCAUGCCUCUGGUAUGUACUGGUCUCACUGAUUCCUCCUUCCUGACGAACCGUAAUGCCAUUAAUUUGGUGUUGCGGGAAAUUUGGACUGUUACUUUGAAAAAUUAGAGUGUUUAAAGCAGGCUAACGCUUGAAUACAUUAGCAUGGAAUAAUGAAAUAGGACGUUUGAUCCUAUUUUGUUGGUUUCUAGGAUUGACGUAAUGAUUAAUAGGGAUAGUUGGG
rnacentral:rRNA from 1 species